rnacentral:ncRNA from 1 species
UAAAAGUUUGAUUUUAGCUUAUUUAUUUAUUUUAUAAUUUUUUUGCAUGUAAAUUUUUGUGAGAUUAUUAGAUUUAAUUUAAAAAGUAAUCUAAUAAAAAUUAAAUUGCAGCAUUUAAUUUUAUAAAUUAAAGAAAUUUAGAAUUAUAAAUUAUUUUAAUAUAGACAAAAAAUGUGCCAGCAGUUGCGGUUAAACAUUUUAUAUAAGUAAAUAUUAUUUAUUUAAUAGAUUAUAAUUUUUUAUAUUUUAAUUAAGGUUUAAAUUAAGUGAAAUUUUUUAUAUUUUAAAAAAAAUUUAUAUAAUUUUAUAAUUCUAUGAAAUCUUAUUAUUAAACUAGGAUUAGAUACCCUAUUAUUUAAGAUUUAAAUUUAUUUAGAGGAAUAAUAGUUAUGUUCUUUAAACUUAAAAGAUUUGGCGGUAUUUAAAUCUAAUUAGGGGAACUUGUUUUUUAAAAUGAUAAUCCUCAAGAUACCUUACUUUAAUUAAAAAUUUAUUUAUUGUCGUUAUCAGAUUAUUUUUUAAGAAAAAAAAUUUUCUAAAAUAAUUAUUAAAUUAUUUAUUUCAGAUCUUUAUGUAGUUUAUAUUAAAGGUAAGAUGAGUUACAAUAAUUUAUAUUUAAAACGGAAAUUAAUUUGCAAUUAAUUAAUUGAAGGUGGACUUAAUAGUAAAAUUAAAUUUUAUAAAUUUUUUUUGAAAUUAGAAUUAAAUAUGUACAUAUCGCCCGUCACUCUCGUUUUUAAAAUGAGAUAAGUCGUAACAAAGUAGAUGUAUUGGAAAAUGUAUCUAGAAAGAA